UUUUACACGCUAAGUUGAAUAUGAGUUGGAUAGAAUUGACUGGAGAAAAGUUGAAUUUCAAGACAACCAAGCAUGUUUAGAUCUCAUUGAGCAGCUCCAUCACUGAAAUUGAUUGAUUUUCAUGGGCCGGGGUAGAUAAAGGAAAUCUUGAUGAUUCAUUGGUGAGUGGUUGCAUUCAUG